GUGAACGCUGGCGGUAGGCCUAACACAUGCAAGUCGAACGGCAGCACAGUAAGAGCUUGCUCUUACGGGUGGCGAGUGGCGGACGGGUGAGGAAUACAUCGGAAUCUACUUUUUCGUGGGGGAUAACGUAGGGAAACUUACGCUCAUACCGCAUACGACCUACGGGUGAAAGCAGGGGAUCUUCGGACCUUGCGCGAUUGAAUGAGCCGAUGUCGGAUUAGCUAGUUGGCGGGGUAAAGGCCCACCAAGGCGACGAUCCGUAGCUGGUCUGAGAGGAUGAUCAGCCACACUGGAAGUGAGACACGGUCCAGACUCCUACGGGAGGCAGCAGUGGGGAAUAUUGGACAAUGGGCGGAAGCCUGAUCCAGCCAUACCGCGUGGGUGAAGAAGGCCUUCGGGUUGUAAAGCCCUUUUGUUGGGAAAGAAAAGCAGCAGGUUAAUACCCCGCUGUUCUGACGGUACCCAAAGAAGAAGCACCGGCUAACUUCGUG
rnacentral:rRNA from 1 species